ACGGCUGCGUGCGCAGAUUAUGCCGGAGAACGAUGUGCUCAUGCGCACAACUAAGACAGUUAUUGGCAAGCGGAGUUAACAAUGUGCGCAUGCGCAUGUCUAUAAUGGAGAUUGGCUGGUGGUGUUUGCUGAGCUAAGCCUAUGGCAGCUCAGCAAACAAGCAUAAAUGAAUAUAUAAUUGCAGGAGGAGUAGCCGACUCCGGGCUAGGAGGCCGGCAGAGCCCGCGAUGACUCAUGGGAUGUAUGAGUCACCGGGCUAAGAUGGCGGCGGAGCGCUCGGAAUAAGAAGUCGAGCGUCAUCAAAUGAAGGAAAACUACUGAGCUUCCGGUGAGCAGCAGAAAGAAGAAGAACACCGGGAUCCUUUCAGUCUGGACAGCGCAAAAUAUUGUGCAAGUUUUGUAUCUGCUUCGUGGGUCGUAUUUUCCACCUGGAGCCUCGGGAAAGAGUCUUGAAAUGAACUUGUCACCUCGCUCCUAUGUCUAUAGUAGUAACACUCAGCCACAAUGCAGGAUCUUUCCUUUGUGAUUUGUACCCGGAGAGGAUGGGCGCGCUCCCCGCUGCUAUAUAGAUGCCGAGGUGUCAGCGGAGUGAAGGGCUUCAGAUGGGCAGCUAUAUAAUUGGGCUAAGAUGUCAACAUUUUAAUCAAUGAUCUGGAAGUAAAUGGGCAUUGAUUUCUGGGAGCGCCCACAGACAAUGAGCGGAGAUACUGUCCACCUAAAUGAAUGCGUAUCACCAGAGCGAAUUAAAUAGCGACAGCAAGAAGCCGCGGCCCCCGUGUUACCUGCAUUUCUAAAGGAGUCAGCAAAUUCUGAACCGGAUCUCGGCUUGUGCGGCACGGACUGGAGCAAGUGCACGUUGUUAUUCCACAGAUUGUUACAUUUCAUAGUAGAUUAUAGCAAUAUAAGAGAAAACGUGGUCUGUGGUGAUGUCAUCAAGUGGAUUCUGAAUGGUGACAUCAUCAGUCUGGUCACAACAGUAGGUCAACGCUAGUUUGUGAUGGCUGGUACUGUAAGGGAACAAUAUCCUUCAAUACUGGGGUCGGGAAUAUGUAUGUGUGUGUCUGUAGUGCCCAAAAAUAGUGCAUCAGUGGUGUCCCCAUACCCCAGCCUGAAGAGUGCCCCAUAUAACAUAUUGGAAUUGUGCCUUGUCAGACGUUGCCCGUAUGAAAGGUUUUAACUUGUGCCCCAUACAAGGUUUCAGCAGUUUACCCUCAUAUAAGAUUUCAUCAGUGUUCCCCCAUAUAGGGUUUCAUUAGUGUGCUCCCAUAUAAGGGUUUAAAAAUGCACCCCCACAUAAGGAUUCGGAACAAAUCACCAUAUAUGGUUUUAGCAGUGUGCUCUCAUAUAAGGCUUUAAGUAUGUGCCCCAUACAAGGUUUCAGCAGUGUGCCCCCCUAUAAGAUUUCAGCAGUGUGCCCCCAUAUACGGUUUCAGUAGUGUGCCCCCAUAUAGGGUUUAACAGAUGUGCCCCCAUAUAAAGAUUUAGGACAGUUCACCAUAUAAGGUUUCAGCAGUGUGCCCCCAUAUAAGGUUUCAGCAGUGUGCCCCCCAUAUAAGAUUUCAGCAGUGUGCCCCCAUAUACGGUUUCAGUAGUGUGCUCCCAUAUACGGUUUCAGUAGUGUGCCCCCAUAUAGGGUUUAACAGAUGUGCCCCCAUAUAAAGAUUUAGGACAGUUCACCAUAUAAGGUUUCAGCAGAGUGCCCCUAUAUAAGGUUUUAAAUAUGUGCCCCCCAUAUAAAGUUUCAAAAACGU